rnacentral:rRNA from 1 species
GAAGCAGCCACCCUUUAAAGAAAGCGUAAUAGCUCACUAGUCGAGUCGGCCUGCGCGGAAGAUGUAACGGGGCUAAAACUAUGUGCCGAAGCUGCGGAUGUAUACUUUGUAUACGUGGUAGGGGAGCGUUCUGUAAGCCGAUGAAGGUGUGUUGAGAAGCAUGCUGGAGGUAUCAGAAGUGCGAAUGCUGACGUGAGUAACGACAAAACGGGUGAAAAACCCGUUCGCCGAAAGACCAAGGGUUCCAGUCCAACGUUAANNNNNNNNNNNNNNNNNNNUCGGGGCUGGGUGAGUCGACCCCUAAGGCGAGGCCGAAAGGCGUAGUCGAUGGGAAAAUGGUUAAUAUUCCAUUACUUCUGUGUAAUGCGAUGAGAGGACGGAGAAGGCUAAAUCAGCCUGGCGUUGGUUGUCCAGGUGAAAGGAUGUAGGCAUGUAUCUUAGGCAAAUCCGGGGUACUCUAUGCUGAGAUCUGAUAGCAAGCUGUACUUGUACAGCGAAGUGGUUGAUGCCAUGCUUCCAGGAAAAGUCUCUAAGCUUCAGUUACACAGGAAUCGUACCCGAAACCGACACAGGUGGUCAGGUCGAGUAGACCAAGGCGCUUGAGAGAACUCUGCUGAAGGAACUAGGCAAAAUGGUACCGUAACUUCGGGAGAAGGUACGCUGUUGUUGGUGAUGGAACUCGCUUCCUGAGCUGACGACAGCCGCAGAAACCAGGCCGCUGCAACUGUUUAUUAAAAACAUAGCACUCUGCAAACACGAAAGUGGACGUAUAGGGUGUGAUGCCUGCCCGGUGCUGGAAGGUUAAUUGAUGGGGUUAGCGUAAGCGAAGCUCUUGAUCGAAGCCCCAGUAAACGGCGGCCGUAACUAUAACGGUCCUAAGGUAGCGAAAUUCCUUGUCGGGUAAGUUCCGACCUGCACGAAUGGCAUAAUGAUGGCGGCGCUGUCUCCAGCAGAGGCUCAGUGAAAUCGAAAUCGCUGUGAAGAUGCAGUGUACCCGCGGCUAGACGGAAAGACCCCGUGAACCUUUACUGCAGCUUGACACUGAACUUUGACCUUACUUGUGUAGGAUAGGUGGGAGGCUUUGAAGCUGGAACGCUAGUUCCAGUGGAGCCGUCCUUGAAAUACCACCCUGGUAAUGUUGAGGUUCUAACUCUGUCCCGUGAUCCGGGACGAGGACCGUGUCUGGUGGGUAGUUUGACUGGGGCGGUCUCCUCCUAAAGAGUAACGGAGGAGUACGAAGGUGCGCUCAGCGUGGUCGGAAAUCACGCGUAGAGUAUAAAGGCAAAAGCGCGCUUAACUGCGAGACCCACAAGUCGAGCAGGUACGAAAGUAGGUCUUAGUGAUCCGGUGGUUCUGUAUGGAAGGGCCAUCGCUCAACGGAUAAAAGGUACUCUGGGGAUAACAGGCUGAUACCGCCCAAGAGUUCAUAUCGACGGCGGUGUUUGGCACCUCGAUGUCGGCUCAUCUCAUCCUGGGGCUGAAGCAGGUCCCAAGGGUAUGGCUGUUCGCCAUUUAAAGAGGUACGCGAGCUGGGUUUAGAACGUCGUGAGACAGUUCGGUCCCUAUCUACCGUGGGCGCUGGAAAUUUGAGAGGAUCUGCUCCUAGUACGAGAGGACCAGAGUGGACGAACCUCUGGUGUACCGGUUGUGACGCCAGUCGCAUCGCCGGGUAGCUAUGUUCGGAAGGGAUAACCGCUGAAAGCAUCUAAGCGGGAAGCCUACCUCAAGAUAAGAUUUCCCUAGGACUUUAUGUCCUCUAAAGAGCCGUUCGAGACUAGGACGUUGAUAGGUUGGAUGUGGAAGCAUAGUGAUAUGUGAAGCUGACCAAUACUAAUUGCUCGUGAGGCUUGACUAUACAACACCCAAGCAGUUG